rnacentral:ncRNA from 20 species
AUCGUUCAUCUUGCAUCGCUUGUCUGUUUGAUUCCUGAUCAAAGGUGAGUCAGCAAGACGGAAGUAAGGCAUUUACCUGAAGGAACGCGCC